ensembl:snoRNA
CUGCAUCCGUUGAUAGACCUUGAACAGUUUGCGCCGGGAUGCAAAAGAAAGAAAUCCCUGCACUUCCUUUCGGUCUUUCUGGCAGCCCAGAGUGAACUGGGGAAUAUAUCU